rnacentral:piRNA from 1 species
AGCUGGUGGACAAAGGCACAUUAGACAGG